rnacentral:rRNA from 1 species
CCUACGGGAGGCAGCAGUAGGGAAUAUUGGGCAAUGGAGGCAACUCUGACCCAGCCAUGCCGCGUGCAGGAAGACGGUCCUCUGGAUUGUAAACUGCUUUUGAAUGGGAAGAACACCACUCUUGCGAGAGUGAUUGACGGGUACUAUUAGAAUAAGCACCGGCUAACUCCGUGCCAGCAGCCGCG